rnacentral:rRNA from 1 species
CGGUGUUCAACUGGCGUGUCCGCGGGACGUCCUGCCGGUGGGCUUAGCCCGCAAGGGCGGCCCAACUUCAAAUCCCAUCGCGGUGCUCUUCACUGAGUGUCGAGGUGGGCCGGCACGUUUACUUUGAACAAAUUAGAGUGCUUAAAGCAGGCUAAAACUUCGCCUGAAUACUGUGUGCAUGGAAUAAUGGAAUAGGACCUCGGUUCUAUUUUGUUGGUUUUCGGAACCCCGAGGUAAUGAUUAAUAGGAACGGAUGGGGGCAUUCGUAUUGCGACGUUAGAGGUGAAAUUCUUGGAUCGUCGCAAGACGGACAGAAGCGAAAGCAUUUGCCAAAAACGCUUUCACUGAUCAAGAACGAAAGUUAGAGGUUCGAAGGCGAUCAGAUACCGCCCUAGUUCUAACCAUAAACGAUGCCAGCUAGCGAUCCGUCGACGUUCCUCCGAUGACUCGACGGGCAGCUUCCGGGAAACCAAAGCUUUUGGGUUCCGGGGGAAGUAUGGUUGCAAAGCUGAAACUUAAAGGAAUUGACGGAAGGGCACCACCAGGAGUGGAGCCUGCGGCUUAAUUUGACUCAACACGGGAAACCUCACCAGGCCCGGACACCGGAAGGAUUGACAGAUUGAGAGCUCUUUCUUGAUUCGGUGGGUGGUGGUGCAUGGCCGUUCUUAGUUGGUGGAGCGAUUUGUCUGGUUAAUUCCGAUAACGAACGAGACUCUAGCCUGCUAACUAGGCGUAUUUUCGACAUCUCAAAGGUCCGUCGUCCCGGCCCUCGGGUCGUGGGCGUGCGCGAUUUUUACUGUCGGCGUACUAUCAAUUCUUCUUAGAGGGACAGGUGGCUUCUAGCCGCACGAGAUUGAGCAAUAACAGGUCUGUGAUG